rnacentral:rRNA from 1 species
UACGGGGGGGGCAAGCGUUGUUCGGAAUUACUGGGCGUAAAGGGCUCGUAGGCGGCCAACUAAGUCAGACGUGAAAUCCCUCGGCUUAACCGGGGAACUGCGUCUGAUACUGGUUGGCUUGAAUACUGGAGAGGGUUGCGGAAUUCCCGGUGUAGAGGUGAAAUUCGUAGAUAUCGGGAGGAACACCAGUGGCGAAGGCGGCAACCUGGACAGAUAUUGACGCUGAGGUGCGAAAGCGUGGGGAGCAAACAGG